GCCUGGCUGGCUCAGUUGGUAGAGCGAGUGACUCUUGAUCUCUCGGGAUUGUGGGUUUGAGCCCCAUGUUGGGUG
rnacentral:tRNA from 1 species